AGCAGCCGCGGUAAUUCCAGCUCCAAUAGCGUAUAUUAAAGUUGUUGCAGUUAAAAAGCUCGUAGUUGAAUUUCGGGAUCAAUAUGUUGGUCGUGCCUCGGUACGUACUAGCUUAUUGGUUUCUCCUUUCUGAAGAACCAUGAUGUCAUUUAUUUGGUGUCGUGGGGAAUCAGGACUGUUACUUUGAAAAAAUUAGAGUGUUUAAAGCAGGCUCACGCUUGAAUACAUUAGCAUGGAAUAAUGAAAUAGGACGUUUGAUUCUAUUUUGUUGGUUUCUAGGAUCGACGUAAUGAUUAAUAGGGAUAGUUGGGGGCAUUAGUAUUCAAUUGUCAGAGGUGAAAUUCUUGGAUUUAUUGAAGACUAACUACUGCGAAAGCACUUGCCAAGGAUGUUUUCAUUUAUCAGGAACGAAAGUUAGGGGAUCGAAGACGAUCAGAUACCGUCGUAGUCUUAACCAUAAACUAUGCCGACUAGGGAUCGGAUGAUGUUAAUUUUUUAAUGACUCA
rnacentral:misc_RNA from 1 species